rnacentral:rRNA from 1 species
ACUCCUACGGGAGGCAGCAGUGGGGAAUAUUGCACAAUGGGCGCAAGCCUGAUGCAGCAACGCCGUGUGAGUGAAGAAGGUUUUCGGAUCGUAAAACUCUGUCCUAAGGGAAGAAACAAAUGACGGUACCUUAGGAGGAAGCCCCGGCUAACUACGUGCCAGCAGCCGCGGUAAUACGUAGGGGGCAAGCGUUAUCCGGAAUCACUGGGCGUAAAGGGUGCGUAGGCGGCUUAGCAAGCCAGGGGUGAAAGGCAUUGGCUCAACCAAUGUAAGCCUUUGGAACUGUUAGGCUUGAGUGCAGGAGAGGUAAGUGGAAUUCCUAGUGUAGAGGUGAAAUUCGUAGAUAUUAGGAGGAACACCAGUGGCGAAGGCGACUUACUGGACUGUAACUGACGCUGAUGCACGAAAGCGUGGGUAGCGAACAGGAUUAGAUACCCUGGUAACACAGAG